CCUACGGGUGGCAGCAGUGGGGAAUAUUGGGCAAUGGGCGCAAGCCUGACCCAGCAACGCCGCGUGAAGGAAGAAGGCUCUCGGGUUGUAAACUUCUUUUAUCAGGGACGAAGCAAGUGACGGUACCUGAUGAAUAAGCCACGGCUAACUACGUGCCAGCAGCCGCGGUAAUACGUAGGUGGCAAGCGUUAUCCGGAUUUACUGUGUGUAAAGGGCGUGUAGGCGGGAAAGCAAGUCAGAUGUGAAACCCAUGGGCUCAACCUGUGGCCUGCAUUUGAAACUGUUUUUCUUGAGUACUGGAGAGGCAGACGGAAUUCCUAGUGUAGCGGUGACAGGCGUAGAUAUUAGGAGGAACACCAGUGGCGAAGGCGGUCUGCUGGACAGCAACUGACGCUGAGGCGCGAAAGCGUGGGGAGCAAACAGGAUUAGAUACCCGGGUAGUC
rnacentral:rRNA from 1 species